rnacentral:rRNA from 1 species
GACGAACGCUGGCGGCGUGCUUAACACAUGCAAGUCGAACGGAAAGGCCCCUUUUGGGGUACUCGAGUGGCGCACGGGGGUGUAACACGUCAGUAACCUUCCCUUGACUUCGGGGAAAACUUCGGGAAAUGGGGCCUAUUACCGCAAGGAAUCCUUGCUGCAUGGUGGGGGUUGGUAAGCUUCGGCGGUUUUGGAUGGGCUUGCGGCGUAUCAGCUUGUUGGUGGGGUAGUGGCUUACCAAGGCGUUGACCGGUAGCCGGACUGAGAGGGCGACCGGCCACACUGGGACUGAGAGACGGCCCAGACGCCGACGGGUGGCAGAAGGGGGGAAGAUUGAACAAUGGGCGGCAGCCGGAUGCAGAAACGCCGCGUGCGGGAUGACGGUCUUCGGGUUGGAAAACGGUUUUAGCAGGGGCGAAGCUUGUGGUGACGGUACCUGCAGAAGAAGCACCGGCUAACUACGUG